UACGUAGGGUGCGAGCGUUAAUCGGAAUUACUGGGCGUAAAGCGUGCGCAGGCGGUUGUGCAAGACAGGUGUGAAAUCCCCGGGCUUAACCUGGGAACUGCACUUGUGACUGCACGGCUGGAGUGCGGCAGAGGGGGAUGGAAUUCCGCGUGUAGCAGUGAAAUGCGUAGAUAUGCGGAGGAACACCGAUGGCGAAGGCAAUCCCCUGGGCCUGCACUGACGCUCAUGCACGAAAGCGUGGGGAGCAAACGGG
rnacentral:rRNA from 1 species